CAUUCUGCCCUUCCUCCCAUCUGACAGGCGAACUGCAGAAAGCAAAGUUUACCCUGCUGACAGAGGCCACCGGUGGGCAUACGGGCCCCGCCCAGGCCUGGUGUGGGCCCCACGAAAACACAAAGGAAGUGGGAGCAGCUCCUUCAUGUUCCAGUGAGGUAACUGGCGCCUGCCUCGUUCACGCUCAGCGUGCUUGACAGCAAAGGCCAUCUGCAUCUCGCAGCCUUUGCAAGGCACAGGCGACUGACUGACUGAUGCUUGAGUGGAAACUUUGCUAAGUGGGCAGCUCAUCCGCAACACACGGAGCCAAAACCAGAGAGCAGCUGACAGAACCUCUCAUGCUUUUGUCUACAUUCCUGUACCGCCCUUUCUCAGCUACCAGCCUCGGCACAUUUCUAAGCCACCAACUUCUCUGGAAGAGAGCACUGACUGCCUAUACCCAAGUCACCAGCCACAUUGCUCUUGGACAACUGAGGAGAAAAGGAGGCCAUGACGUUUUGCCCGGGAGCUGCAUCAAAGUCUCCAACGGCCUCCCAAUGCUCUUGUAAGCAACUGGAACUUGUCUUGUAGCCUGUAAGGCACUGUUUGGCCAGGGUCUGGCUUUCUUUCUCCAGACACAUACUGAACCCAUCAGUCUCUUUUCAGCAUCCGGUUUCCAUGUUAAAAGUUCUUCCCAAAUGAGACAUUUACCUUCUUGUUUUCCCUUGAUCCCUUCAACUGCUCUGUCUAUCACUUUACCCCAGCAUCCAGAAUGCACAUGGAUACCCAGGGGUUCAAUACACAAACACGGUAUUGAAGAAGCAGAGGCUGUAGAUUACAUGUCGUUAAGCAUCAUUUUCUAGACUUUGUUGCAUCCCCACCCAGUUGUGAUAACUCCAUGCCUAGAGACACAGAUAGACAUCCUGGGAAGAGGAAAAGAAGACUGGCCCUGGUUAGCAACCAUUAUUAUAAAGGUUAGAAAUAAAUGCACACCAUUCCCAGUCUGGGCACAAAAUGCCCAAUUAACCUACAA